rnacentral:rRNA from 1 species
UACGUAGGUGACCAGCGUUGUCCGGAUUUACUGGGCGUAAAGAGCGCGCAGGCGGUCGUUCAAGUCGAGUGUGAAAGCCCCCGGCUCAACUGGGGAGGGUCACGCGAUACUGUUCGACUCGAAGGCAGGAGAGGGAAGUGGAAUUCCCGGUGUAGUGGUGAAAUGCGUAGAUAUCGGGAGGAACACCAGUGGCGAAGGCGACUCGCUGGACAAGUAUUGGCGCUGAGGUGCGAAAGCGUGGGGAGCAAACAGG